UACGUAGGGUGCGAGCGUUAAUCGGAAUACUGGGCGUAAAGCGUGCGCAGGCGGUGAUGUAAGACAGUUGUGAAAUCCCCGGGCUCAACCUGGGAACUGCAUCUGUGACUGCAUCGCUGGAGUGCGGCAGAGGGGGAUGGAAUUCCGGCGUGUAGCAGUGAAAUGCGUAGAUAUGCGGAGGAACACCGAUGCGAAGGCAACUCCCUGGGCCUGCACUGACGUCCAG
rnacentral:rRNA from 1 species